rnacentral:lncRNA from 1 species
CCAGCUACAGCAGCCGGGGGUGGCGUGAACGGUCAACCCUCCUACGCGCGGCCCCAGUGGUAUGGAUGGCGGCAGGAGCCUCAUCAGCCCCUAACGCCGAUCCCGGAACUGUAAGGCGAGCGACAGGGGCUGUUGAUGGCGGCCGCUGUUCAGCCGCCACCGCCGCCACUCCAGUCGCCGACGAUGCUGGUUCCGCCGCCCUCUCCUGCUGCCUCUUCGGCGGCGAGGCCUGCUCGCGCGGCUAGCCCGACGCUAGAGGAACGGAUCACGGAGGCCGUCCGGGUGGCGGUGGCAGCCGCUAUGGCCACCGGCGGACCCGUUUCUCGAGGGG